GAGGAGGGGAGAGCGGAAUUCAUGGUGUAGCGGUGAAAUGCGUUGAUAUCAUGAGGAACACCGGUGGCGAAGGCGGCUCUCUGGAAUCCUGCUGACGCUGAGGCGCGAAAGCCGGGGGAGCAAACAGGAUUAGAUACCCUGGUAGUCCCGGCCCUAAACGGUGCACACUGGGCGUGGGGGGUAUUCACCCCCCCCGUGCCGGAGCUAACGUGUUAAGUGUGCCGCCUGGGGAGUACGGCCGCAAGGCUAAAACUC
rnacentral:rRNA from 1 species